AUGAACGCUGGCGGCGUGCCUAAUACAUGCAAGUCGCGCGCACAGACGAGGAGCUUGCUCCUCUGACGUUAGCGGCGGACGGGUGAGUAACACGUGGAUAACCUACCUAUAAGACUGGGAUAACUUCGGGAAACCGGAGCUAAUACCGGAUAAUAUAUUGAACCGCAUGGUUCAAUAGUGAAAGACGGUUUUGCUGUCACUUAUAGAUGGAUCCGCGCCGCAUUAGCUAGUUGGUAAGGUAACGGCUUACCAAGGCAACGAUGCGUAGCCGACCUGAGAGGGUGAUCGGCCACACUGGAACUGAGACACGGUCCAGACUCCUACGGGAGGCAGCAGUAGGGAAUCUUCCGCAAUGGGCGAAAGCCUGACGGAGCAACGCCGCGUGAGUGAUGAAGGUCUUCGGAUCGUAAAACUCUGUUAUUAGGGAAGAACAAAUGUGUAAGUAACUAUGCACGUCUUGACGGUACCUAAUCAGAAAGCCACGGCUAACUACGUG
rnacentral:rRNA from 1 species